UACGUAGGGUGCGAGCGUUGUCCGGAAUUAUUGGGCGUAAAGAGCUCGUAGGCGGUCUGUCGCGUCGGUCGUGAAAACUUGGGGCUUAACCCUGAGCUUGCGGUCGAUACGGGCAUGACUGGAGUUCGGUAGGGGAGAGUGGAAUUCCUGGUGUAGCGGUGAAAUGCGCAGAUAUCAGGAGAACACCGUGGCGAAGGCGGCUCUCUGGAACGCAACUGACGCUGAGACGCGAAAGCGUGGGGAGCGAACAGG
rnacentral:rRNA from 1 species